CUGUGUGACCAGUGGCUCUCUCCUCAAUAGCAGGCUGUCCUGAGGAACUCGGGCUGAAUUUAGUUUGGGGGAGUCCCUCUUGUGUGCCAGGCACUAUGCCGGGUGCUGUUUCUCUGUUUUGUAGCUUUGUCCCUCUAAGAUCAGCUUCCAUGCCAGAGAACUGUACCUCUUGGGCAAGACUGACUGUAAUCCAUGUUACUUUCGCAGCGUUCAGUGGCUCGCUGCUGUCCACAGGAUGAAGUUCAGGCUCUUUGGCCUGCGCAUAGCCUCUCUGGUCACCUUUGCCACCAUUCCUCACCGGGUGCUUUGCGCUGUGGUCCUGCUGAACUAGUUGUAGUCCUUUCCCCUUCAUAUUCAGGCUGUGCACCUGCCAGGAGUGCUCUUCUCCCCUUUCUUUGCCUGCUAAGUUCUACUCAUUUCUUCAUGGCUUACCUCAGAUGUCCCCUCCUCCAGGAAGCUUCCCUGAUACCCACUGCCCCCACUGCAAUUAGAUGUGUCUUUGGUGCAUCUUUGUCAUUGCAUUUCCCAUGCUGUAUUACAGUUAUCGCUCCUCUUAGGCUGUAACCUUCUUGAGGGCCAGAAGGUAUCUUACUCUUCCCAGCCCUUGGUAGAGUUUGUAACCGACUUAUGAUAGAAAUUAAUGAGAGAUGGUCUCUCUGUUUAAGGAGCUUCUAGAACAAAGGAAACUAACAUUUAACGAGCCCCUUCUAUUUAACAGAUGUUUAUAUGCAGUUUCUCAAUAGUCUUCUCAUAACUUUGUGAUGUAGGUGGUGGUGGUGGUUUUUUUUGUUUUGUUUUGUUUUGUUUUUGAGACGGAGUUUUGCUCUUGUUGCCCAGGCUGGAGUGCAAUGGUGCGAUCUUGGCUCACUGCAACCUCUGCCUCCCAGGUUCAAGCAAUUCUCCUGCCUCAGCCUCCCGAGUAUCGGAUUGAAGACAUGUGCCACCACACCCGGCUGAGUUUGUAUUUUUAGUAGAGACAGGGUUUCACCAUGUUGGCCAGGCUGGUCUUGAACUCUCGACCUCAGGUGAUCCGCUUCUCACUUCUGACACCUCCGCCUCCCAAAGUGCUGGGAUUACAGGCAUGAGCCACCAUGCCCGGCCCGGUGGUGUCUUUUUAUAAUUGAGGAAGGGACUCAGGUCAUCCCUUGACAAAGCUCCCCAUUGUCUCAGAGACAGAACUGAAAUUUGAACUUAGGUAGGUUUGAUUCUUAAGACCCAAGCUUUCUUCCGUUCCACUCACCUCCUAGUACAGGCUCCUACAAGUAAGUGUUUGAAGAAUGAUGGGGCACCAUGAGUAUGAACCUCUGACAGAACAGUGAGUAAAUAGGGCAGGGAGUCCUUUAUUUGCCUGGGGUGAUUUCAGGGAGGAGGAGGUAGAGUAAAUUGCAGGUGACCCAAGGGAUCUCAAACAUUUGAUAGGACAAAACUCAGAUGGUUGCGUCUAAAGAGACAGAAGUACAUUUGUUCUGUAUUUUAUUUUAUUAUUAUUAUUUUUUUUCGAUGGAGUCUCGCUCUGUCAUCCGGGCUGGAGUGCGGUGGCACAAUCUUGACUCACUGCACCCUCCACCUCCCGGGUUCAAGCGAUUCUCAUGCCUCAGCUUCGCGAAUAGCUGGGAUUUCAAGCACGUGCCACCAUGCCUGGCUAAUUUUUGUAUUUAUAGUAGAGACAGGGUUUUACCAUGUUGUCCAGGCUGGUCUCAAACUCCUGACCUCAAGUCAUCCACCUGUCUCGGCCUCCCAAAGUGCUGGGAUUACAGGUGGGAGCCACCAUGCCCGGCCUCUUUUAUUAUUUUAUUUUUAUUUUUUGUAGAGACAGAAUCUCGUUAUGUUGCCCAGGCUGGCCUUGAACUCCUGGCCUCAAGUGAUCCUCUUUCCUCUGCUUCCCAAAGUGCUGGGAUUACAGGCAUGAGCUACCAUGCCUGGCCCUCUAGGGUGUUUUAUUUUAUGGAUAGUAAGGUAUUACUUAAUGGGCACUUCGCUGUGUGUUAUUUCGUAUAAACUCUCAACAAACCCCUUCGGGUAGAUAUUGUUACUUUCUCCACCUUACAGAUGAGGAAAUUGGGCUUAGCAAAAUUAAGUGAUUUGCCCAAGGUCACACAAUGAAUAAAUGGUAAAGCUAGGACUUGGAUCCAGAUCUAAUGCAAAAUGUGGCUUUAAAAUACUCCAUACUCUCUCCCCAGAUUUGGAUGUGUCAGAAGUGAGAUUUAAAUAUGACCUCUGAAUAGAGAUCCAUCAGGGAAGGAAGCCCUUUCAGUGUGCCUUGGGAUGCCCAAGUGGCCAGACAUCCUGAUGUUUGGCAGCUCACAGACUAUCCAGUUUCUCGUUUGAGCUUGGGGAGGUGGCUUGCCUCAGUUCCCCCUGCAAUGCAGGUUUUACACUAUUGCUACUGACCCCUUCCGUGCUCCCCCGACCCUACAGAGAGAGCUCCAUUCCCGUGGACGUGGCUCGGCAGCGGGAGCUCAAAUGGCUGGACAUGUUCAGUAACUGGGAUAAGUGGCUGUCACGGCGAUUCCAGAAGGUGAAGCUGCGCUGCCGGAAGGGGAUCCCCUCCUCUCUCAGAGCCAAGGCCUGGCAGUACCUGUCUAAUAGCAAGGAACUUCUGGAGCAGAACCCAGGAAAGUUUGAGGCAACAGGACCUGUACCGAAUCCUGAAGGCCUACACCAUCUACCGGCCUGACGAGGGUUACUGCCAGGCCCAGGCCCCCGUGGCUGCGGUCCUGCUCAUGCACAUGCCUGCGGAGCAAGCCUUUUGGUGCCUGGUGCAGAUCUGCGACAAGUACCUCCCAGGUUACUACAGUGCAGGGCUGGAGGCCAUUCAGCUGGACGGGGAGAUCUUUUUUGCACUCCUGCGCCGGGCCUCCCCGCUGGCGCAUCGCCACCUGCGGCGGCAGCGCAUUGACCCUGUGCUCUACAUGACGGAGUGGUUCAUGUGCAUCUUCGCCCGCACCCUGCCCUGGGCGUCGGUGCUGCGUGUCUGGGACAUGUUUUUCUGUGAAGGCGUUAAGAUCAUCUUCCGGGUGGCCCUGGUCCUGCUGCGCCACACGCUGGGCUCGGUGGAGAAGCUGCGCUCCUGCCAAGGCAUGUAUGAGACCAUGGAGCAGCUGCGUAACCUGCCCCAGCAAUGCAUGCAGGAAGACUUCCUGGUGCAUGAGGUGACCAAUCUGCCGGUGACAGAAGCACUGAUUGAGCGGGAGAAUGCAGCCCAGCUCAAGAAGUGGCGGGAAACGCGGGGGGAGCUGCAGUAUCGGCCCUCACGGCGACUGCAUGGGUCCCGGGCCAUCCACGAGGAGCGCCGGCGGCAACAGCCACCCCUGGGCCCCUCCUCCAGCCUCCUCAGCCUCCCUGGCCUCAAGAGCCGAGGCUCCCGGGCAGCUGGAGGGGCCCCGUCCCCGCCGCCCCCCAUCCGCAGAGCCAGUGCUGGGCCUGCCCCAGGGCCUGUGGUCACUGCUGAGGGACUGCAUCCAUCCCUUCCCUCACCCACUGGCAAUAGCACCCCCUUGGGUUCCAGCAAGGAGACCCGGAAGCAGGAGAAGGAGCGGCAGAAACAGGAGAAGGAGCGGCAGAAACAGGAGAAGGAGCGGGAGAAGGAGCGGCAGAAGCAGGAGAAAGAGCGAGAGAAGCAGGAAAAGGAGCGAGAGAAGCAGGAGAAGGAGCGGCAGAAGCAGGAGAAGAAGGCUCAAGGCCGGAAGCUUUCGCUGCGUCGAAAGGCAGAUGGGCCCCCAGGCCCCCAUGAUGGUGGGGACAGGCCCUCAGCCGAGGCCCGGCAGGACGCUUACUUCUGACCUCUGCCCUGGGGCUGGACUGCAUGGCCCCCCUCUUUCCCUCAGCCAAGAACAGGCCUGGCCCGAGGUACCACCCCCUAGCACCUUGUCAGGCUGUCCCUUGCUGGGGAAAGUGGCUUGGUUCCCCAUCUCCUCGCCAGCUGCUGAUCCCUACACGGGCAGGACAGAUGGGCAGCUGCAAAUGAGUCUGGAGCCUCUCAUCUCCCAUGAGGCUCAGCUGGGGGUCUCUGUCGCUCCUGCCCCAGUUCCCUCUGGGUCCCCUCCUAGGUGCUGUCCUGAAUGGCCUGUUGUCAUCCCAGGGGUGACUCCUGGUGAUGGGAGUCAGCAGUUUCAGAUUCUUACACUCCAUGGCUCCCCUUACCAUGAGGUGGAGCUGGCUUCCUUUUCCCUGUCUUCAGUCCUCCCUGUGUCCCCCACUUCCUGGCCAGGGCUCUCCUUCUGGACCUGUGUUGUAAUUGUGUACAGAGGAUGGCGUUGGCCUGGGGUGGGGGUGCUCGCUUUGUCUUCUGUCCUUUGGUUCUCCUUCCAUAAUGCUCCUGUACCCAGUUUAUUUAAGGGGACAUGCACUGGAAUAGGAAAUGUCCCCCAUCUCCCUUCCUGCACCCUGCUGUGCUCCCUCCAAACCCACCUUGCUCUGUGUUCUCAGGCCCCCCUGCUUUUGUCUCACCAGGACCCAUACCUUUCACCUUGUUCCCUUCCACCCCUCCAGUUAGUCCCUAUCUGGGUAAGGGUCUUCCCUUGAGCUCCAGGGGGUGGAACCCAAUGUUUACAUUCUCUUCUGUCUCUGCCCCCACCCCAUGCAGCGCUUUGAGGAAUCGGAAAAGAACCUGCUGUUGUA
rnacentral:sRNA from 1 species